AAGAUCAGUGUUCAUCUCAGGUGGCUUCAGCAGAAGCAUUAGGACAUGAGUUGACGAAUGAGCUAAAGGAAACUUCUUUGCAGCUAAAGGAACCUUCACAAACUAGAAUGUACAGCGAACCAUCGGACAAGCAGGGUAAGAAAUUUGAACUGCUAGAGUUUUCUCAAUCUGAGAACAAGCCAUCUUUUGUUGCUGUCGAAAAACCACCUUGUGAUGGUUACAACUGGAGAAAUGUUCGUCUCAGGUGGCUUCAGCAGAAGCAUUAGGACAUGAGUUGACGACUGAGCUAGAGGAAACUUCUUUGCAGCUAAAGGAACCUUCACAAACUAGAAUGGACAGCGAACCAUCGGACAAGCAGGGUAAGAAAUUUGAACUGCAAGAGUUUUCUCAAUCUGAGAACAAGCCAUCUUUUGUUGCUGUCGAAAAACCACCUUGUGAUGGUUACAACUGGAGAAAAUAUGGCGAGAAGAAAGUAAAGGCUAGUGAAUGCCCUCGGAGCUACUAUAAGUGCACAAAUCUCAAAUGUCCAGUGAAGAAGAAAGUUGAGCGAUCUGUUGAUGGUCACAUAACUGAGAUCACAUAUAAUGGCUGGCACAAUCAUGAACUUCCUCAACCAACCAAACAAAGGAAAGAUGGUUCCACUUUGGAUGGUUCAGACUGCUCCGAAGUUCGACCUGACACCCGUACACAUGAUUGGCCAGUUAUGAAUAAUAGCUCAGAUGGGUCUUCCCAUACACGUUCUGACCAGGUUUCAAACCAAAUGGUAUCUGAACUUCUUGUGAAAAGCGAAUGCGAUGAAAUCAAAAACAUUUUAGUAGCAGUAGAUGAUGGGCAUGAUGAACCAAAUGCAAAGAGAACGUGAGUCCUUCUUUCAUGAGUAAAGAAUGCCCCAUCCUUCUGUUAUAAAACAAGAAGAAAACCGUAGAGCAACAAAAGUAUGAUUUAAUUCAGUUACUGUGAUGCAGGAAGACAGCAGUUGAGACAGUAGCUUCAUCACAUGGCACAGUUGCUGAAUCCAAGAUAGUUCUGCAGACAAGAAGUGAAGUUGAAUUCUUAGAUGACGGGUACAAAUGGCGAAAGUAUGGGCAGAAGGUGGUAAAGGGGAAUCAGCACCCAAGGUACUUAUAGUCUACAUAUCGUCCGCUGCAAUAUUUUUCUCAAUCUUAUGUUAGCCGCUAUUCUGUAUAUGAAUCUUUUAUUGCAUAAUGUUUAUUAUACUAAAGAACUUGUGUGUGCUUGCUAAUUUCCCCGAAAUGAUGCUAGCUUAUCUCCUUGUCCUAUUGAAAUAUGCCAAAACCCAUAGUUUAGAAACUUUGUCUAUCAGGAUUUUACAAACUACUAUAGUUCUUAAAUGGAUACGGUGUGAAGUCUGAUAGAAGAGGAAACUUUACACGGUGCUUAACAAUCGAUCAGGCCAUGUUUUCUGGCUCUGAUUUAAAGUAAUUGUGUUGACGGGCAUAAGACUGAUGAUGAACACUCUGGAACUGCAGAUGCAAGUUGUAGGACUAACUUUUUUCAAAUAAUAUAAAAAGGAAGACUGUAAAAUAUAGUUAACUUUGAAGUUGCGGGUCAUCAAUUUUUUUUCUUUUUAAUUCCUAGACUUCAUUCUUGUUAAUAUGAUGUGGUAUUUUUAGUGACGUGGGGCAAAGGCAGUCAUAGCCUUCUAAAGGUUUUAUUUGCUACCUGAUCACGAAACUAGAUGACUUGGUUUCUGAGCUCAUGUUUAUGAUAGGGGAUAAUAAAUCACAAAAGACGGAGGGAAGGGGGCUUCCUUUCUAAGCUACUUUUUUGCUUUUGCUUGUGUCGCUUUUCUUUUCUUUUCUUUUACGUGUGUCGAAGUAGCUAUGACAAACUUUCAUCAUGAUAAAUCUGUUCAGCAUCAAGAGAGACAAAAUGUAAGUCUGGUUCAGCUGGAAAAUAAAUAGAAAAGUGGAUCUCGGUUGUAAGAACUAAGAAGCACAUCUGGCUUUCCCGCUCAUGAUCCUUCGUAGUUUUGAACAUGAAGAAUUUGAUGGUAAUAAUUCAAUAGUGGCUUUCGUGAUUAUUAGUUUGGCCUGUCAGAUUUUGUAUUUGAAACCUCUUGGACAAUGCAAGAUAUUGGAUUAUAUCCUAUACUAUAUGAUUGGGCAGUGGAAAAAUUACAAUGUAUUUUUAUGUGAAAGCAUGUGGCGGAGUUGAGAAAGUUUAUAUAUGCAUCUGAUAAACCAGACAAGUGUUAUAACAUCCUUCUGAGAUUAGUAUUAACUGCUACAAUCAGUUGCAAAAUCUAGUUUGAUCACUUGGUAGUUCUUUCUCUUCUCAGAAUAUGAUUUCACAUGUUACUGUUGAACAUUUUAAAAACAUGCGUCUUUCCUGGAACUGGCCAUUUAUUUGAUUACUGUUCUUUUCUUGUUGAACGAAUCAUCCCUUAUGCAUCCAAACUUGAUAUACAGGAGUUAUUAUCGUUGCACAUAUCCUGGAUGCAAUGUCCGCAAACAAGUAGAGAGGGCUUCAACUGAUCCAAAAUCUGUCAUAACAACCUAUGAAGGCAAGCAUAAUCAUGACAUUCCCACUCUUAGGAAUAGAAACAGCCAAAGAUAGUACUCAGCGUUGCAAAGUAAAAGAUGGUGACUUCGAGGCCUUUAUUCACCAAGAUAUUGAUUUUGGAAACAACAAUGAAAUACCCGUGUGUGAAAGGAUUGCAGCAUAAGUUGCAUUAGCACGAAAAGGUGAAAGGAUACUGAGAUUGCAGCAUAAAUACCAUUACCAAAGGUAAAAGAGUGAAAGGAUACAGGAUUGAGCUGCUAAUUUUUGUACCAAAUAGUCGGUCUUUUCUUUCGAAAACCUCAUGCUGGAACCAUGAAUCUGUUAGUAGUUCUCAAUAAAUAUUUGUAAAUUCUAUGCUACUUUCUGGAGUUGUCUGAUAUAUUGUUAAAGUAAAGAAGGUUGUAAUAGUUUGUCCUUGCCAUUAAGCUUCUUCUGGUCAGCUUCAAACUCUAGACCAGCAGAGUACAUAAGCUUAUUCAAGCAAAGUUGUCAACUUUUGAUAUCAUAUUUACUUUGUAAAUUAGAAGUUAUAUUUCGUUUGCAUCUCUUGAUCCCUGAGCCUAUUUUACUUUUCCGUUUAUUUCGAAACAUAUUCCAACUAAGGAUGAGAAUUCAUGGAACGAAGUGGAUGCAAUUUGUUAUCACUUUAUAGCUUGUUUGUUAGGUUUGAUGGCAGUUAUGAUAACUUUUUUACAAGAAAAAAAUUAUGGGCUCAGAAGGACGACCUAAAUUUCUAAUUUUUUUUACAUAUGUCUGGUUCUUGAUGGUUAGAAGAAAGAAGCAGAAAGAGACAGAGGAUGAAGAAGAAGGGGAAUUUUAGUUGUAGAAUUGCUUGUGCUUUAUUCUCGUAAUAAGCAUAAUGGGAGAAUUAACUAAAGGUAAAACGUGGAGGGUGUGGGGAGUGGGAGGAGAGAGGCAGGUUAACUAAAAUUAGAGAAUAUAUGCUUCUAAAAUUACGCCUAGAAUAAAUGUUUUUUUACAAGAAAAAAAUUAUGGGCUCGGAAGGACGACCUAAAUUUCUAAUUUUUUUCUAUUUUUGAUAACUUGGAAAUCUGUCUGGUUCUUGAUGGUUAGACCAAAGAAGCAGAAAGAAAAAAUGUAUUAGACCAGCUCAAUGAAUACAUAACUUCGGCCCCGCUGAGGCCUCGGAUCAUGUCUACCUCUUAGAAAAAUUUGCCUUGAUAGAGCACCUAUAAGAAAAAACCCAAAGAAGUUGAAAUUGGAGGGUUUAUCGUUUAGCCUAUAUAAUGGAGUAAUAUCCUUGAUAUAUACGACAUUGUUAUAUACUCCAGCUCAUUAACUAAAUUCAUACAUUGAUGUAAUGGUUCAUAUUAGUAUAUAGUAUAGACAAACAUUUGUUUCCCCCCCUUUUGCUCUUAAGUCUUAACCAUAUCCAGAAACCCUUACCUAGUUCCUAACGCACUCUUAUCUCCGUCACACUCAACUACGGAAAGCAGCCGGUGUCCACCGACCGGGGUCCGGCGAGAUCCGACCUCCGUCACCCCUCAGCACCGGCACUUUGUAGACCUAUCUGUAUAACUCUGUUAACUGUAAAGGUCUUCUUCACUCACCUCUUUCUAUUGACUUUUAUUGAUACGAUUUAUUUCAAGCAUACUUUGACUUUGAUUCUUUUUAUGAUUUCUGUUUUUUCACAAAUUAGUAGGACCUAGGAUUCAUAUUUAUGUGAGCUCAAUUAUAAAUACUACCACUAAUGAUGAUAAUUAAGUAUUUAUUUGUAUAAUUGUAUUAAACAACUAUGGAAGCAUCUUUCUGUGGACUGCCAUUGUCAAUUAUAUGUGAUUAAUUUAAUUAAUAAUUAUAUUCUGUUAGUACUAAACCCUAGAAUAUUGUCAUUUUCAUUUUAUGGGAUUAAUUUAAUAAUAAUCAUAUUCUCUUAGUACUAAAUCCUAUAGCAUUUUUACUACAAGUCAGAAUUCAAUGUUUAUUUACUUGUGAAGUUUACUCUGACUUUAUUUGUUGUUACUGUUAUGGUAGAAAGAGCAUUCUCAUCAAGGAAGCACAUAAAAAAUGAACUGCGAAAUAGAAUUAGUGUUGCAUUUUUUAAUGAUUGUUUAUUUUUAUACAUUGAGAUGGAAGUAAUUGCAAGUCCAAGCAAUCGUAAUUUUUUUUUACCAACUUAGAAAAUGAAAGUCUAUCGAGGUCAAGUAUGAAUAGAUGAUGUACUUUUGUUAUAUUUGUACUAAACUAAUGACAUUCAAUAUUUUGAAUUUUGUACCUUUCUCAUAAGUUAUCAUAAUCUUUAAGUUUUUAAAGAGUUGCACUCCAAACUAAUUAGCUUGUAAUUGGCAGAUGUAGAUCUAGGAUGUUAGCUUGAUAGGUUCUUAAGGUUGUUCACAUUCAACUCAUUUAAAAUUAUGACUUUAGAUAUAAUAUUUGUUGAAAUUUUGGUGGGGUUUCACAUAAAUAUCCAUUCUCCGUGUAGACGGCGAAGCACUGGAUGCACCCCUGGUAAUUGGCAUGUCUAAGUAAACACAUUGGUCCCCCGCCACUUUUAAAUCUUGGGUCGACCUCUUCAGACACUUCGACAUAGUCUUAGAGCAGGCAAAGAUCUUGAGUUCAAAUUUCACCGUCAACCAUAUAUCCAAAAAACAAAUGGGAGAAUUUUUUUUUAGAUUCCUAGCAAAAAUUUCUUCACCGUUCGGCACCUAAAUUUUGGGAUGUCCCAGUUUUGCGCUUUUCCAUUGUUAGAAGAGACUAUUCCUACAUAAAUAGUCUAUGAACUAUGAUGCACCCAAUGGUUCGUUAUAGAAAUAGUUAACUAAAAGUCAUCUAAUUACAUUGGCAUCAUGUUGUUGCUUAUGAUAUUUCAAGGCUUUGCAGUGUCCCUAUGGAAUGUGACACCAGCAGGCUCUAGCACAUGUUACAGCAAAGCUUGCAUUCUCUAGUUCUUACAUGCACAUGCAAGCCGAAGAUCAGUGUUCCUCUCAGGUGGCUUCAGCAGAAGCUUUAGGACAUGAGUUGUCGACUGAUCCGAAGGAAUCUUCUUUGCAGGUAAAGGAACCUCUCCAAACAAGGUUGGAUGACAAACCGUCAGAAAGCAAAGUCAGCAGUUUGAACUGCCGGAGGUUUCUCAAUCUGAGAUCAUGACAUCCUUUGGUGCUCUCGAUAAACCAGCUUGUGAUGGUUAUAACUGGAGAAAAUAUGGCCAGAAGAAGGAUAAGGCCAAUCAAUGCCCUCGGAGCUACUAUAAGUGCAC
rnacentral:lncRNA from 1 species